rnacentral:rRNA from 1 species
UACGUAGGGUGCAAGCGUUGUCCGGAAUUAUUGGGCGUAAAGAGCUCGUAGGCGGUCUGUCGCGUCGGCUGUGAAAACUCGGGGCUCAACCCCGAGCCUGCAGUUGAUACGGGCAGACUAGAGUGCGGUAGGGGAGACUGGAAUUCCUGGUGUAGCGGUGAAAUGCGCAGAUAUCAGGAGGAACACCGGUGGCGAAGGCGGUUCUCUGGGCAUGUUCUGACGCUGAGGAGCGAAAGUGUGGGGAGCGAACAGG